UUCGUGUUCUUUCUAAAUCUCCGUGUUUUGCCACUAUUCUUUUUAUUUUCUCCUCUUUCUUUCAUCUCUCCUUCAACUGUUAUGAUUUUUUCUGAUUUGUAGGAUUAAGUAGAAUCAAGUGGUAGACUUGACAUAAAAAUCCUAUAAGUUGAGGUUUAGAAACAUGGCUUAGCUAUCUCCACGCAACAUGCCGUUUGGAAGUCUCUGCCAACUUUAAUAUUGUCGAUGGUUAACUAGCUGGAAUCUUUCUGAUCAAUUCAAUUUGGAUGUAUCCCAGUUGUAAGCAGUUGAAGACAAAGGCUCUUGAUACUCUGGGAUGUAGCAAAUGGAGGAUAAACAAAAGGGUAGUUUCUGUUUUUGAUAGAAUAUGGGAUAGUGGUGGUCGUCUACUGAUUGGUUAGUUACUUUACACAUUAACUAUCCUAUUAAGAUUCAAAAGUUUCUGUCAUUUGCAGGUCCUUUGCCAAAAGAACCAGAUAUAGAAGAUGAUGCACUACUCGCGAAGUGGAAUUGGAUACCAAAAUCUGUCAAGAGGAGACUAGAUAAACUUCUCACAACAUUGUGACGUCGAGCUCAAACUUCUUGGUCUUGAAUGCUCAAGUGACUGGCUUUCUCAUUGGAGUGAAAGACUACAAGAUCUUUGACCAAGAGACUAAAUCUGUUGAAGGGACCUUGAGACUUGCAUAUUGGAUCAUGUCAAAUUCGUGUGUAGAGCAGUGUCAACAAAAAGACCUCAAGCAAGAAAUGUUGACAUCUAGCCACUUAUCCUACUCUGUCUGUGAACUUGUGCAUAACUAAUAUAGUUGUUAGUUGUCACCCAUGGAUUAUAAAAUAACAUCAGUUUGAUACGGCAUAAAUAGAUUAGGAUCCAGUAGGGCUGGAACACUAGGUAUUUCCUAGUGCUCAAGAUUUUGAGUCUUUUGGCUAUGGUUAUUAGGCCAAGCGAGUUGCUUUUCUUCCAUA